rnacentral:rRNA from 1 species
GCUUGUCUCAAAGAUUAAGCCAUGCAUGUCUAAGUAUAAACGAUUUUAUACGUGAAACUGCGAAUGGCUCAUUAUAUCAGUUAUAGUUUAUUUGAUGGUCCUUACUACUUGGAUAACCGUAGUAAUUCUAGAGCUAAUACAUGCAUCAAGCCCUGACUUCGGAAGGGGUGUAUUUAUUAGAUGGAAACCAAUGCAGGGCAACCUGGAAUAUGGUGAUUCAUAAUAACUCGCGGAUCGGUUUACCGAUGCAUCAUUCAAGUUUCUGCCCUAUCAGCUUUGGAUGGUAGGGUAUUGGCCUACCAUGGCUUUAACGGGUAACGGAGAAUUAGGGUUCGAUUCCGGAGAGGGAGCCUGAGAGAUGGCUACCACAUCCAAGGAAGGCAGCAGG